UAUGCACUAAGCAGCAGCUAGUCAGUGGCUGGUUGUUAUAGUUCAAGUCUACCCGCUGGCAGUGGAAACAAUCAGUUGUCAACUUUCCACUUCUCGAGCUUGACACAGCGAAAGCCACGGUAAGGCGACGGCAUCGCCAGCUCCGGGUCACUAGCCUUGCACGCUUCCUGUUUCCAAGGCUGAGUGUUCGGGAAAUGAUGGUGACUGCCGGGUGGCUUUGCUGGUGGGAAGAUUCUAGACUUUGAGCUUGACGGGAUGGAGGAACCAAACUGCGCAAACCCAUCGGCCAUCGUGAGGUAAUCCUGAGUAACGUAACCCGAAUAAAAUCAAGCACAAUAUGAACACACGACACACAGCGUAUCACUCACAUGCGUGGUUGAGUUGAAAUCGUGUCGCAAUGAAACUUGAUAUUGUCCCUGCUGCUGUUUCUAGGGGACCAGCCCCUCCAGACCCUCCAGGUCUCACACAGCCCGUGCGCAAGGAUGCAGCUUGUAUGAGCAGGCUCCAAGAAACGGAAGGUAUUGGGACGGUGGGAUGAUGACGUUGGUUUCGAGCCCAAUUACAUUCCCAGGCAAUUGGCUGGACGUCCAAUGUCACUGACAGAAGCGAAUGUCAUGGGCGGUUCCUCCCAACCUCAACAAGCUCAAUCAGGGCAUUCACGGAGAGAAAAAAGCACUUCGACAUGGCCAGAAACUGGUCACGAAGCGGGCCGGACCUUGAAUCUUCAUCAGACCCAGCUCAACUUUGCUUCGGUAAUGUACCUAGUAUCACAC